UUAAACUAGGGAUUAGAUACCCUAUUAUUAAAAUUUAAAUUAAUAAUACUAAAAUAGUAAAUAAUUAUUUAUUGAAACUUAAAUAAUUUGGCGGUAUUUUAGUUCAUUUAGAGGAAUCUGUUUAAUAAUUGAUAAUCCACGAAUAAAUUUACUUAAUUUUUUAUUUUGUAUAUCGUUGUUAUAAAAAUAUUUUUCAAUAAUAAUAAUAUUUAAAAAUUUUAAUUAAAAAUUAAAUCAGAUCAAGAUGCAGAUUAUAAUUAAGAAUAUAAUGGAUUACAAUAAAUUUAUUUAAAUGAAUAUUAAUUUGUAAAAUUUAAUUGAAGGUGGAUUUAAAUGUAA
rnacentral:rRNA from 2 species